CAAUCAAACCUGGAGAUAGCUGGUUCUCCCCGAAAUAGCUUUAGGGCUAGCCUCUUGUUAAAGAGUCGUGGAGGUAGAGCACUGGAUCGGCUAGGGGGCUUACCCGCUUACCAAACCGAACCAAACUCCGAAUGCCAUUGACUUGUUUCAAGGGAGUCAGCGUGCGAGGGAUAAACUCCGUACGCGAGAGGGAAACAACCCAGAUCGUCAGCUAAGGUCCCAAAGUGUAAGCUAAGUGAUUAAAAGGAUGUGAAAUUGCUGAGACAGCUAGGAUGUUGGCUUAGAAACAGCCACCAUUUAAAGAGUACGUAACAGUUCACUAGUCAAGUGAUUUUGCGCCGACAAUGUAUCGGGGCUAAGUUUACCACCGAAGCUACGNACUCANCGUUUCGUUCGCGAGACGUUGAUUGGUAGGGGAGCGUUCCAUAGUAGGCUGAAGGUAAACCGUAAGGUUUGCUGGACGAGAUGGAAGUGAUUAUGUCGGCAUGAGUAGCGAUAAUGCAGGUGAGAAUCCUGCACACCGAAAAUCUAAGGUUUCCUGGGCUAGGCUCGUCCUCCUGGGGUUAGUCGGGACCUAAGCUGAGGCCGAAAGGCGUANGCGAUGGAAAACAGGCUAAAUAUUCCUGUACCACUUACAGCGUGUUUGAGCUAUGGGGUGACGCAGAAGUGAAAGGUCAGCCAGCGAUUGGAAAUGCUGGUCUAAGCUCGUAGGAGGGUCAUCUAGGUAAAUCCGGAUGACCAAUACUCUGAGAGGCGAUGGGGAGCCGCUUAGCGGCAUAAACUGACCCUAAUCAGGCUGCCAAGAAAAACCUCUAUGUGAAUUCUGUAGGUGCCCGUACCGCAAACCGACACAGGUAGAUGAGGAGAGUAUCCAAAGGUGCGCGAGUGAACCCUCGUUAAGGAAUUCGGCAAAAUGAUCCCGUAACUUCGGAAGAUGGGAUGCCCUNAGUAGGUAAAGCCCCUCGCGGGUGGAGCCCAAAGGGGUCGCAGAGAAACGGGCUGGGCGACUGUUUACCAAAAACACAGGUCUCUGCUAAGCCGUAAGGCAAUGUAUAGGGACUGACACGUGCCCGGUGCUGGUAAGUUAAGAGGAUGAGUUAGUCUUCGGACGAAGCUUUGAAUCGAAGCUCCAGUAAACGGCGGCCGUAACUAUAACGGUCCUAAGGUAGCGAAAUUCCUCGUCGGCUAAAAACCGACCUGCACGAAUCGUGUAACGACUUGGCCGCUGUCUCAACGAGGGACUCGGUGAAAUUGUAGUUCCGGUGAAGAUGCCGGAUACCCGCGGCAGGACAGAAAGACCCCGUGAACCUUUACUAUAGCUUGGUAUUGGAUUUUGACACUGUAUGUGUAGGAUAGGUGGGAGGCUAUGAAGCGGGAGCGCCAGUUCUCGUGGAGCCGUCCUUGAAAUACCACCCUUGCCUUGUUAAAAUUCUAACCUUGGUCCCUUGAUCGGGAUCGGAGACAGUGCCAGGUGGGUAGUUUAACUGGGGCGGUUGCCUCCUAAAAAGUAACGGAGGCGCCCAAUGGUUCCCUCAGCGCGGUCGGUAAUCGCGCGUAGAGUGUAAAGGCAUACAGGGAGCUUGACUGCGAGACUUACAAGUCGAGCAGGUGCGAAAGCAGGGCUUAGUGAUCCGACGGUUGCAUGUGGAAGCGCCGAAGCUCAACGGAUAAAAGGUACUCC
rnacentral:rRNA from 1 species